UGUGGUUGUGCUCCACGCUGGGCUGCAGCUGUGAAUUUAAGAUAAACUAGAUAAAUCAAACAAAUAGACGUUAACAGCGUUUAGACAACAUCGGAAAUCGAACAAUAACAUCACGAUGUAUUCGCAUCCGUACAUGAAACCAGCCAAUACUCCGCUAAAGGCACAUUAUUUUAAAAUGUAUCCUACAUGUACUAAGUUGAUGCACGGAGCUGCCUGAGCUGUUUAUCUCACUGAGGGAAGAAAACACUUUAUCCAACAAUGUAAAGUGAACCAGGAAACAGAGACAGCUCACCUGUGGAGAGAGAGGUCGAUGCAGCGAGAAUCUGGAGCUGGAAAAUGAAUCAGCCGUGGAUGCUCUGGCUCAGACUGUGGUUCAAGGACAACCAGCACAUGGACAAAGUCCCAUCCCAAUCUCAUUCUUGUGGACACCAUGGAGAUAGAAGCUAAGUGAAGACUCUUAAAGCA